rnacentral:lncRNA from 1 species
CGAGGACAAUUCCCAGGGACGCUAAGGAAAAUGUUUGAGUUUUGCCUUUCUACACAGUCUUCAUCACAAUAGUUCUUGGGGGCAUCACAGACUCACUUACUGAUAUGUAGAAAUAGCCAAACAUUGUCAAAAUGAAAAACUCUACUACCUACACGUGAUUUAUGUCAAUUUUAACCUAAGCGAUGGCUUCCUGAAUUCUUGUGUGCCAAAGGAGAUGGUUCUGUUAUACUUUCCAACUAAAGUGUGAUUCCUCUUGUCCUUCCUUUUGUUACGGAGGUUCAAAUCCAGAAUCUCACGCGUGAGCCCGUGCUCUACCACUGAACUACACCACAUCCCAGUUUGUGAUCUGCUUUUCAAGAAAAAUGUUACAGUUUCCAUCUUAGUUUAUGAAGCACUGCACCAGCCAGAGCACGGCUGCAGUCUGUAGUUGGACGAUUUCCGAGCCCUCCCACUUGGGAUGCCUGCCCGAGAAAGAUGCAGAUCCACAACCCCACUCGGUACCUGGAAAUAGGAUAUAACCUGAAAUGGAUCAGGCAAAGACAACGCAACCUUCUGUCAUUUUCUAGUCAGGGCAGCCAGUAACUGCCCUAAACUGACCCACUUCACUUCUGUUGGAGAAACUGGAGACAGAAGAGUUAAAAAUCUUUUAGCUUAAAAAAAAAAAAUCUUUUAGCUUUUAAGAUCAAACAAAAAAGAAAGACACCAAAGAUCGGGGCGACACAAACACCAAGUCUCUUAUGGCUGUUUUGUUUUGCUUUAUGUUUUGAAUAAAAAAUAUUGGCAGUC